UGGCGUAUGGUGGAUGCCUUGGCAGACAGUACCGAUGAAGGACGUGUGGGGCCGCGAUAGGCCUCGGGGAGCCGCCGACAGGGCUUUGAUCCGAGGAUUUCCGAAUGGGGGAACCCGCCGGCCGUAUGGGCCGGCACCGGACUUGUCCGGGGGGUACGCAGGGAAGUGAAACAUCUCAGUACCUGCAGGAAAGGAUACUCCGUGAGUAGUGGCGAGCGAAAGCGGAUGAUGGCUAAACCGUGUGCGUGUGAUACCGGUCAGGGGUUGCGCGCGCGGUGUCGUGGGAAAACCAUGUCGGAACGCUGACUCGUUCCGGACGCAGUGACAAACCGUGGCGUGAGGUGAAACGGAUUGAAUGCCGUACCGUAGGGGGUGAUGGUCCCGUAGCCGAAAGCGCCGUGGCUGUGUGGUGGUUUGUCCCGAGUAGCGCGGGCCUCGUGGAAUCCCGUGUGAAUCCGCCCAGACCGUUGGGUAAGCCUGAGUAUAGCUGUCUGACCGAUAGUGGACGAGUACCGUGAGGGAAAGGUGAAAAGUACCCCGGGAGGGGAGUGAAACAGUUCCUGAAACCGUGCGCUUGCGAACCGUCAGGGCCCCUUUGCGGGGUGAUGGCGUGCCUAUCGAAAAAUGAGUCUGCGAGUUAGUGGCAUGUGGCGAGCAUAAGCCUUGUGGCGGAUGCGUAGCGAAAGCGAGUGCGAAAGCGCGUCGAGUCGUGUGUCCUAGACCCGAAGCGGGAUGAUCUAGCCCUGGUCAGGUUGAAGCGCGGGUAAGACCGCGUGGAGGACCGCACCCACCUAGGUUGAAAACUGGGGGGAUGAACUGGGGUUAGGGGUGAAAGGCCAAUCAAAUUCCGUGAUAGCUGGUUCUCUUCGAAAUGCAUUUAGGUGCAGCGUCGGAUGUUGCGUCCGGGGGGUAGAGCUACUGGAUGCUUGCGGGCCCGUAUCGGGUACCAACAGCAACCAAACUCCGAAUACCCGUGGCGUUAGUCCGGCAGUGAGUCGGCGGGGGAUAAGCUCCGUCGUCGAGAGGGAGACAGCCCAGAUCGUCGUCUAAGGUCCCCAAGUGUGUGCUAAGUGGGAAAGGAUGUGGAGUCGCAUAGACAGCCAGGAGGUUGGCUCAGAAGCAGCCAUCCUUGAAAGAGUGCGUAACAGCUCACUGGUCUAGUGGUUCCGCGCCGACAAUGUAGCGGGGCUCAAGCACACCACCGAAGACGCGGCAACAGGCGUGUGCCUGUUGGGUAGAAGAGCGUCGCGCGACGGGGUGAAGCCCUGGGGUGACCCGAGGGUGGACUUCGCGCGAGUGAGAAUGCAGACAUGAGUAGCGAGACCGGGGUGGGAAUCCCCGGCGCUGAAUGACCAAGGGUUCCAGGGCCACGCUUGUCGUCCCUGGGUGAGUCGGGUCCUAAGGCGAGGCCGACAGGCGUAGUCGAAUGGAUGAACGGGUUGAUAUUCCCGUACCGGCUGUGGACCGUCCCGCCGAUAGCGGUGUCCCGGUGGUUCUCCCGUAUGGCGUGCGCGUUUUCGGACGCGCGGGCUUGUCGGGUGUUCCGUUUGGGGCCCGUGUGUAGGUAGCGGAGGAAUGACGCGGUCAGGUAGCUUCCCGCGGAGGUGGUUUUCCGUGGCCAAGCGUGCGGCCCGGCCCCCGAGCAAAUCUAGGGGCCAUGCGGGCGAGGCGUGAUGGUGGGCACCGUUUGGUGCGAUAUGAAGUGAUCCUGGCGGCCGAGAAAAGUUUCGUCGCGAGGUCCGCGGGCGCCCGUACCCGAAACCGACACUGGUGGUCUGGUAGAGUAUACCGAAGCGAUCGAGUGAAUCCUGGUCAAGGAACUCGGCAAAUUGCUCCCGUGCCUUCGGCAUAAGGGAGACCCCCGGCGGUGAGGGCCUUUGCGGCCGGAGCUGUUGGGGGUGGCACAAGCCAGGGGGUAGCGACUGUUUACCAAAAACACAGGUGCAUGCGAAGACGCAAGUCGCGGUAUAUGCACUGACGCCUGCCCGGUGCCGGAAGGUUAAGAGGAUCCGUCAGCUUCGGCGAAGCGGUGAAUUCAAGCCCCGGUAAACGGCGGUGGUAACUAUAACCAUCCUAAGGUAGCGAAAUUCCUUGUCGGGUAAGUUCCGACCUGCACGAAUGGCGUAACGACUUCCCCACUGUCUCGACCAGGAACUCGGCGAAAUUGCAGUACGAGUAAAGAUGCUCGUUAAGCGCAGAAGGACGAAAAGACCCCGGGACCUUUACUAUACCUUGGUAUUGGUGUCAGGUGGUUGUUGUGUAGGAUAGGCGGUAGACUGUGAAGCGCGGGCGCCAGCCCGUGUGGAGUCGCAAGGUGAAAUACCGCUCUGCGGCCAUCUGGCGUCUCACCUCGACAAGUCAUCCUUGUCAGGGACAGUGCCUGGCGGGUAGUUUAACUGGGGCGGUUGCCUCCCAAAGAGUAACGGAGGCGCUCAAAGGUUCCCUCGGCCCGGUUGGCAAUCGGGUGUCGAGUGUAAUCGCACAAGGGAGCUUGACUGCGAGAACGACGGUUCGAGCAGGGACGAAAGUCGGAGAUAGUGAUCCGGUGCCGGCGUACGGACGCGGCAUCGCUCAACGGAUAAAAGGUACCCCGGGGAUAACAGGCUGAUCAUUCCCAAGAGUCCAUAUCGACGGGAUGGUUUGGCACCUCGAUGUCGGCUCGUCGCAUCCUGGGGCUGGAGCAGGUCCCAAGGGUUCGGCUGUUCGCCGAUUAAAGCGGCACGCGAGCUGGGUUCAGAACGUCGUGAGACAGUUUGGUCUCUAUCCUCUGCGCUCGUUGGAAUCUUGAGGAGGCCUGCCCAUAGUACGAGAGGACCUGGGUGGACGAACCUCUGGUGUGCCAGUUGUCGCGCCAGCGGCAUGGCUGGUUGGCUACGUUCGGAUGGGAUAACCGCUGAAAGCAUCUAAGCGGGAAGCCCGCUCCAAGAUAAGGAUUCCUGGCCAACUUUCGGGUUGG
rnacentral:rRNA from 1 species